rnacentral:rRNA from 1 species
UACGUAGGGUGCAAGCGUUGUCCGGAAUUAUUGGGCGUAAAGAGCUCGUAGGCGGUUUGUCGCGUCCGCUGUGAAAAUCCAGGGCUUAACCCUGGACCUGCAGUGGGUACGGGCAGACUAGAGUGCGGUAGGGGAGAUCGGAAUUCCUGGUGUAGCGGUGAAAUGCGCAGAUAUCAGGAGGAACACCGGUGGCGAAGGCGGGUCUCUGGGCCGAUACUGACGCUGAGGAGCGAAAGCGUGGGGAGCAAACAGG